AACGUCAUUCCAGAAGCCACUGAGACUACCGUCACUCCAGAAGCCACUGAGACCACCGUCAUUCCAGAAGCCACUGAGACCACAGGCUCAUCAAAAGACACAAGACCCCGGGGCCAGAAGGCAAAAAAAAGACAAAAUCCAGUCCAACAGAGGGUAGCCAGCAAUAUGAAGCCAAAAAAAAAGUAUGAGUGUCCAGAAUGCUGUUGGAGAGUGAGGCAAAACAACUUUGACUACUCCAAGGUUUUGAAAAGAAGAGUGAGAGAGGGAACAGAGGAGGUCCUCAUUUGUUGGGUUCCAUGCAAGACCUGUGGGACCAAAUGGAAAGACUCCUGGGAGCCCUCCUCCCUUCUUGAAUAAUGAAUUACAUUUUUAUUUUUAUUUUGUAUUUUCUUUUAUAAUGAAUAAAAUAACUACAAACAUAAACAAAGUUAUUGACUUGUUAUUCAUUGCCUAAAUUGCAUAUGCUAUAUAGAGUACACACAGAUCUUUAUAAAUAACCUAAUUAAAAAUCCUCUGUUUAUUGUCAGUUUUGUUUGAAUAACUGUUAUAUCUACGUCUGUACGUCUGUUAUGUUCUCACGUGUUUGUCUGUGUAUGUAGUUAUAUAUGUACUGUCUAUAUAUUGGUUGUAAGCAGGAUUUCUUGUAACUUGGUGGAUGGGUAGGACAUGGUACAGGAAGAAACCUAUUAUAUUUUGUGGCUGUUAAAAUUUUAGAUUAAUAAAAUUUGAUGUAGUUGGAGAUAUUUGCUCUACUUUAUGCCUUUAAUGUUCAGGUUUGUGUCCUUCUGUCCAGAUGACAUUGAGCGGAGAACAUCAUGAUGGUGCUGGUUCCACCCCAGGGCAGGAAGUAGAACAGUAGUUGGCAUGCCGUGUAGAUGUACUAUCAUUAUCUGCCUCUGUAAUUGGAUAGAAGACCAGUAGUAGUUGUCUUUUGAUCCAUUAUUCAUUGGCAAUGCAAUAAUUAUGCAUUCAAAGCAUCAAAUUGAUUUAAUAUUGGCAUAUAAUUAUAAAUAGAUUUAAAUACAUUAGAAAGAGAACUGUUUCAAUUUCCAAGAAACAAAUGUUACUUGUUUUACACAAGCUGAACAGGAUUAAACAAAAUAACCUGUAUUAUGAAAAUCAGGUGAUCAGAGAACAAAUAUAAAAUAAUGGUUCAUACACUAAUAAUAAUUAUCUUGUCUUUUUAGACUUCUAAAGCUAUACAGAUCCACUUUGGGAACUGGAAACCCUUAAAGCUCACCUUCACCUGGAAAUGAGAGAAUGGGUAUAUGUCUACAGGUCUCGGUGACUUGACAGAGGAUGCUACCUAUGGGCUCAACAGUCUCAUCAAUCGGAGGUCACUCAGAAGUCAACACAGACAGACUGUAAAUGCAAACAGCAGUAUAGGCGCUUUCGAUUACAUUGAGGACAGGACCAGUGCACUGAAGAUGUGUACUAAAUAAACCUGCCUUGCUUUUAUAUCAAACAGCGCUUUUUAUGAAGGGAUUUACAGUAUAAGGGAAUUUUCAUCAGAAACCCAACUGUUAGAAAAUAGUGCACUUUGAUUUUUACAUUUCAAACCAAAGCUACUAAGUGUUUUCACCCAUAGCUUAGAGAUAAUAAAGAGCCACAUAUCUUCAGGAAAGUAUUGACAAUAUAAAUAAUGGCACUUUGCUAAAAAGUUCAGAUUAUGUAUUGUUAUUAGAAACAAGGACAACAUACUAACUAUGGGUAAAGGUCUUUUCCUUUCCAGCACUUUUAUACAAUGUCAAUUAUAUCAUAAAAGUUUUUAAGAUAUAUUUACCUGCCUUAAUUCUUAAAUUCAAAACUCAAAAAUGAAAGAAGAUAUCAGCAAAAACUGAAAUUGUACUAUUCUUAUGAAUAUUUGCAUUUAUUUGUCUCUUAUUUUUCUGACAACAAAAACAGAAAAGCUGCUGUUUCUCCUGACUGACAUCACCAAGUAGCGGAUUAAUAAUGUUAAAAGUAAUUUUGCAUGUUAUUACAAUGCAUUACCGGUAUUUUGCUUUAAAUAAAUCAUUGUUAUUUUUUGCAUGUAAAAAAUCUGAUGAAGUACAAUAAUUACAAUGUACUUUACUUCAAUAUUUCCAUAUUAUACUUUGUGUAUGUAUGUAAGCUAUGUAUGCAAUAUGUAUAUACUGUUUGUAGUUUCAGCAUACUUGUUAGUGAACACCAUCAAAUCGAUAUUAAACCAUACAUGUUUUUCUGUUAUGCUUUCCAUAUCGCAUCAUCUAAAUGUACAUCAAUAUAGUCAUAAAUCAUAUCCACUUUAGCUGACAUUCUGUAAAACUGUAUGGAGAAAUAUCUUUCUUUGUCUUGAUGCAUACAUAUGUGCAAUACUGUAAUAAAAACAAUUAUGUUUUUUGCUUGUUGAAUGAACUUCCCAUUAAAGUACCAU